rfam:Aspergillus zonatus CBS 506.65 unplaced genomic scaffold ASPZOscaffold_140, whole genome shotgun sequence.
AUAGAUAUGUCGGAAUUGGUAGACGAGCUUCGCUUAGGUUGGAGUGAUUAGAUAUAAGUUCAAAUCUUAUUAUCUAUA